CCCAAUUCGAUUAAAAACACACACAUCAAAAAACUUCCUCUCGACUCUGUCUAUCUACAUCCAGGGUUUGCUCUGCUAUCUCAUGGCCAACAAUAACUCACAUCUACCCUGCUACUUUAAUUUUAUAUUUUAUUCUUUUGAUCUUCUAUUUCUUCACUAUCUGAUUUUGUAUCUCUUCACUAUUAAUUUCUCUUUUUUUAAAUUAUGCAGGUGGUUAGGCUUCGAGUUGUUGUUUUAGCCGGAGCUUGAAAUUUGGGUCUUUGAGUUACAGAUUUCAUCGAGGUUAAACUAUUAAAUAAACUUGCAUCAGCUAGAGCUUCAGGACUCGAUGGCGGCAGCCAAGUUUUGACAGACUUGCUGGAUGGUUUGGAAGAACCAACUGCUCCUAGUAUGGAGAGGCUGUAUUAAAGCAUUUGGAGAACAUUAGUGAUUCAGAUCCAAAGCUUCAGAAAGCUCCUAGUAACUAUGAAGGCGGAAAUACUCAGAGACCAGAAGUGUGUGUAGUCACUUGGAACAGUGAUGAGCUUGCAACAGAUGCACUGCCUAUUAAUGGGUUUGAGCAUUAUAAGGAAAAUGAUUUCGUUGCUAAUGCUCCAUUUUCAGUAUCCUGGCAAAGCUUGACAAGGCAGAAAGAGUACUUUGCUUCAAAAGUGGAAUGGCUACUUUGGCUACUACUACUCACAUAUUUGGAACUGGUGCCUUUUCUUAUAAUGUUCCUGGGACUUCUGCUAAGGAUGUUAUGGAUAUGGUGCUGGUGACUCGAUACUUUGAUACCAUGAAGGAAAUCAGUGCAUCCUCAAAUUCAGCUGUCAUUUUUGUCCCACAUGGACCUGGUGUAGUGAAAUAUAGUAUCUACAAUAUAGUAUCUACAGUGAACGUACAACAUUGAGAAGGGAUUUAUGGAGAUCUGAGACUAGGUUAUUUUGUUGUUUACUUGCUUGGUUAGGAAUGGAUUUAUGAAUGUUCAAGACAGAUAUUGCCAAAAUUUUAUGGAAAGUGUUGUAUUUUACUUU